rnacentral:lncRNA from 1 species
UUAUGAGGAAAAUUACCCUGCUGAGUUUGAAUGGCAGAACAGCAUUAAGAGUAUGCACCUAAUUUUUUUCUUAAAUCAACCAAACAGAAAAUCCACAAUGAGGAUGAUCUUGUAAUUACACACGUCAGAACAGAAAGCAUGAUAGCUUGCUCAGUUUUCCUUGAACGUUCUUUUAGAAGAAUUUGGGAGGAGAAAGGGAGGGAAGAGUUUAUUGUAAAUUAACUUUGGCAUGAAACUUUUGUAAAAAUGUGCCCAACAUGCAUUACAUUCUUUGUUCUGUGUUUUUCCUACAUAUAAAACCUUGACAACCUGCUAUUCUAUGAUUGAUGCACUUAUUUCUUCUAAAGUAUCACUAACCAAGCAUAUCAUUUUUAUACAGUAAGUGUAUAUUCAAUUUCCUACAGUUUGACUGCUAAACAGGCUCAGCAGUAAAACAAAUAUACACUGUCACAGUGUACUGUUAAGAGGGACCAACUGAAAAUCUUGGAAUACUUUGCAUUUGUGUUUUCUUUGCUUUUAGUGGCAAUGAAAUCACAGCAGGGGCAAAUGCUAAAUAUCCAUAGUUUUAUAAAAGUGGUAUUGGCAUUGGGUUCAGUCUGCAACUACUGCAGACUUUAUGCAAUGUUAAUAGAAUGUUACGAUUCAUAUAUUCUUGCACAAUAAGACAGAAUGACAUAUCAUGUUUGCAGGCUCUCCUGACAAGGUAUGAGGUAUUUAUCUGGGUUUUUAUACCACACUCUUAUCAGCGUAGUAUCUGGAUGACUAUUGACAUCAUUAUCAUUCAUGUAUUCAUAAAUGUGUAGGGGUCUUCCAGUUACAUAGCUACAUUCUACAGACUAUGAAGUUGCUCCUUCACAGUGUGAAAGGAAACACAAACUGAAGAAAAAGAAUGCAAACUCCUGUUGGCUUAGCAUACGAUCCCUGGCACUCCUGGACCAGGCGGGAAGAUAAUGGAUCUGUGAGAAUUCAUGUAUGUUUAUGAUGUAUGAGGCAUUUCAGCUGACAUUGAAUCAGUGGACAUGUGGUAGUGGUGCAAUGUGCUUGCUCAGCUCGCAGCAUCCAAAGCAGCACUUCAGGACACACUCGCACCAUUCAAAGGAUGGAACAGUCCCAAGGAAGCUCAAGGUUGGACUCAAACUGUGAACCCAGAGCCGAAAUGCCAGUGCUUCAUCCAGCGAACUGGUCAGCCCAUCUGUUUGCCAGCUUUGUGCAUUUUCCAGUAGGCAGCCUGAGAUGAUCUGACCAUUGAUGUAUUGUGGGCCUUCAAACACUCAGUAUUUUUCCCAAAAUACAAUUUGAAAAUGAAUGUUUGUCAGCUGAAAGGGUGCACUAAGAGAAUGCAAGGAGUAAUCUGAGAGAGACAGACAGGAACUAAAGGCAAAUACAUAACUUUUUACAAAGAUUAAAAAAUAAAAAGGCAAAGGCUUUUGUUGUUCCCUUGCUA